CCUCCCAUUUUAGUACCGCUUAUUUCAGUUUCGCCAGGUAAGCGGCUAUGCUUAUGGGACAGAUCAAACUUUCCAGUGACUGGAGGAAACUACAGUUAAACUGUUGGUUUCCGAUGUAACUUGGGCAGACAGGCUGUA